rnacentral:rRNA from 1 species
UAAUCGCGAAUCAGAAUGUCGCGGUGAAUACGUUCCGGGUCUUGUACACACCGCCCGUCACACCAUGGGAGUCGGAAAUGCCCGAAGUCAGUGACCCAACCGCAAGGAGGGAGCUGCCGAAGGUGGAGCCGGUAACUGGGGUGAAGUCGUAACAAGGUAGC